rnacentral:tRNA from 1 species
GCCUGGCUGGCUCAGUCGUUGAGCGUCUGACUUUGGCUCAGGUCACGAUCUCGCAGUUUGUGAGUUCGAGCCCCACAUCAGGCU